UGCACAUUAAAGUGUCAUGUAAAAAAUGUGCAAUUACACUAAUGUGGAGUAAAAUAGUCUACUGCGCAUUAAGCAUC